rnacentral:rRNA from 1 species
UACGAAGGGGGCUAGCGUUACUCGGAAUUACUGGGCGUAAAGCGUGCGUAGGUGGUGAGUUAAGUCUGAUGUGAAAUCCCCGGGCUCAACCUGGGAAUGGCAUUGGAUACUGGCUCGCUGGAGUGCGGUAGAGGGUGGUGGAAUUCCCGGUGUAGCAGUGAAAUGCGUAGAGAUCGGGAGGAACACCAGUGGCGAAGGCGGCAUCCUGGACCAAUAUUGACGCUGAGGAGCGAAAGCCAGGGGAGCAAACGGG